rnacentral:rRNA from 1 species
CAGUCACCGCGGUAAUGCGUAGGUGGCAAGCGUUGUCCGGAAUUAUUGGGCGUAAAGGGCUCGCAGGCGGUUUCUUAAGUCUGAUGUGAAAGCCCCCGGCUCAACCGGGGAGGGUCAUUGGAAACUGGGAAACUUGAGUGCAGAAGAGGAGAGUGGAAUUCCACGUGUAGCGGUGAAAUGCGUAGAGAUGUGGAGGAACACCAGUGGCGAAGGCGACUCUCUGGUCUGUAACUGACGCUGAGGAGCGAAAGCGUGGGGAGCGAACAGGAUUAGAUACCCCAGUAGUCCCUGUCUCUUAUAC